rnacentral:rRNA from 1 species
AGUGAACGCUGGCGGUAGGCCUAACACAUGCAAGUCGAACGGCAGCACAGUAAGAGCUUGCUCUUACGGGUGGCGAGUGGCGGACGGGUGAGGAAUACAUCGGAAUCUACUUUUUCGUGGGGGAUAACGUAGGGAAACUUACGCUAAUACCGCAUACGACCUACGGGUGAAAGCAGGGGAUCUUCGGACCUUGCGCGAUUGAAUGAGCCGAUGUCGGAUAAGCUAGUUGGCGGGGUAAAGGCCCACCAAGGCGACGAUCCGUAGCUGGUCUGAGAGGAUGAUCAGCCACACUGGAACUGAGACACGGCCCAGACUCCUACGGGAGGCAGCAGUGGGGAAUAUUGGACAAUGGGCGCAAGCCUGAUCCAGCCAUACCGCGUGGGUGAAGAAGGCCUUCGGGUUGUAAAGCCCUUUUGUUGGGAAAGAAAAGCAGCAGGUUAAUACCCCGCUGUUCUGACGGUACCCAAAGAAUAAGCACCGGCUAACUUCGUG